rnacentral:misc_RNA from 1 species
GAUGAAGAACGCAGCGAAAUGCGAUAAGUAAUGUGAAUUGCAGAAUUCAGUGAAUCAUCGAAUCUUUGAACGCAUCUUGCGCUCCUUGGUAUUCCUUGGAGCAUGCCUGUUUGAGUAUCAUGAGCAAAUCUCAAAGUCAAUUCCUUUUGUUGAUUCAAUUGGUUUUGCUUUUGACUUGGAGGCCUUGCAGAUUUCACAGUCUGCUCCUCUUAAAUGCAUUAGCUGGAUCUCAGUAAUUAUGCUUGGUUCCACUCGGCGUGAUAAGUAUCACUCGCUGAGGACACUGUUAAAAAGGUGGCCAGGAAAAUACUGAUUGAACCGCUUCUAACGGUCUAUUAAGUUAGACAAUUACCCUUAAGUUUGAUCUCAAAUCAGGUAGGACUACCCGCUGAACUUAAGCAUAUCAAUAAGCGGAGGA